rnacentral:rRNA from 1 species
UACAGAGGUCUCAAGCGUUGUUCGGAUUCAUUGGGCGUAAAGGGUGUGUAGGUGGCGCCGUAAGUCAGGUGUGAAAUCUCGGGGCUUAACUCCGAAACUGCAUUUGAUACUGCGGUGCUUGAGGACUGGAGAGGAGACUGGAAUUUACGGUGUAGCAGUGAAAUGCGUAGAUAUCGUAAGGAAGACCAGUGGCGAAGGCGGGUCUCUGGACAGUUCCUGACACUGAGACACGGAAGGCCAGGGGAGCAAACGGG